rnacentral:rRNA from 1 species
AACGAACGCUGGCGGCAGGCUUAACACAUGCAAGUCGAACGCCCCGCGAGGGGAGUGGCAGACGGGUGAGUAACACGUGGGAACCUUCCUAGAGGUACGGAACAACUCAGGGAAACUUGAGCUAAUACCGUAUACGCUCUUGCGAGGAAAGAUUUAUCGCCUUUAGACGGGCCCGCGUCGGAUUAGCUAGUUGGUGGGGUAACGGCCUACCAAGGCGACGAUCCGUAGCUGAUCUGAGAGGAUGAUCAGCCACACUGGGACUGAGACACGGCCCAGACUCCUACGGGAGGCAGCAGUGGGAAAUCUUGGACAAUGGGCGCAAGCCUGAUCCAGCCAUGCCGCGUGAGUGAAGAAGGCCUUCGGGUUGUAAAGCUCUUUUACCAGGGACGAUAAUGACGGUACCUGGAGAAUAAGCCCCGGCAAACUUCGUGCCAGCCGCCGCUGUAA